CUCCUUCAGCCGGGCUUCCUUCUCGUGCACCACCCCUUUGAUGAUGACGGCCACCGAGUAGAUCCAGGCCAGCGUCAUGAAGAGCGGCAGCGAACGAUUCAAGACCCGCAGGAAACUGGGGGAGGGCGUGUGGAGCGGGGAGCAGACGUCUGAACUCCAGUCAC